AUUGAACGCUGGCGGCAGGCCUAACACAUGCAAGUCGAGCGGYARCAGGGGAAKYAGCUUGCURMUUYGCYGRCGAGCGGCGGACGGGUGAGUAAUGUCUGGGAAACUGCCUGAUGGAGGGGGAUAACCACUGGAAACGGUGGCUAAUACCGCAUAACGUCGCAAGACCAAAGUGGGGGACCUUCGGGCCUCAUGCCAUCAGAUGUGCCCAGAUGGGAUUAGCUUGUAGGUGGGGUAACGGCUCACCUAGGCGACGAUCCCUAGCUGGUCUGAGAGGAUGACCAGCCACACUGGAACUGAGACACGGUCCAGACUCCUACGGGAGGCAGCAGUGGGGAAUAUUGCACAAUGGGCGCAAGCCUGAUGCAGCCAUGCCGCGUGUAUGAAGAAGGCCUUCGGGUUGUAAAGUACUUUCAGUGGGGAGGAAGGCGUGAUGUUUAAUACGCAUCRCGAUUGACGUUACCCACAGAAGAAGCACCGGCUAACUCC
rnacentral:rRNA from 2 species